UGGGGAAUCUUCCGCAAUGGACGAGAGUCUGACGGAGCAACGCCGCGUGAGUGAAGAAGGUUUUCGGAUCGUAAAACUCUGUCUUUUGGGGCGAACGUGAGUAUGGUGAACAAUCAUAGUCAGUGACGGUACCAAAGGAGGAAGCCACGGCUAACUACGUGCCAGCAGCCGCGGUAAUACGUAGUGGCAAGCGUGUCCGGAAUUAUUGGCGUAAAGAGCGCGUAGGCGGGAUAGUCAGUCUGUUGUAAAGUGCGGGCUCAACCCCGUGAUGGCAAUGGAACAGCUAUUCUUGAGUGCAGGAGAGGAAAGUGGAAUUCCCAGUGUAGCGGUGAAAUGCGUAGAUAUUGGGAGGAACACCAGUGGCGAAGGCGACUUUCUGGGCUGUGUCUGACGCUGAGGCGCGAAAGCCAGGGGAGCGAACGGGAUUAGAUACCCCGGUAGUCCUGGCCGUAAACGAUGGGUACUAGGUGUGGGAGGUAUCGACCCCCUUCCGUGCCGGAGUUAACGCAAUAAGUACCCCGCCUGGGGAGUACGGUCGCAAGACUGAAACUCAAAUGAAUUGACGGGGGUCAUAGCUG
rnacentral:rRNA from 1 species